rnacentral:rRNA from 1 species
GGGCAAUCUGCCCUUCACUCUGGGACAAGCCCUGGAAACGGGGUCUAAUACCGGAUAACACCGGCUUCCGCAUGGAAGCUGGUUGAAAGCUCCGGCGGUGAAGGAUGAGCCCGCGGCCUAUCAGCUUGUUGGUGGGGUAAUGGCCCACCAAGGCGACGACGGGUAGCCGGCCUGAGAGGGCGACCGGCCACACUGGGACUGAGACACGGCCCAGACUCCUACGGGAGGCAGCAGUGGGGAAUAUUGCACAAUGGGCGAAAGCCUGAUGCAGCGACGCCGCGUGAGGGAUGACGGCCUUCGGGUUGUAAACCUCUUUCAGCAGGGAAGAAGCGAAAGUGACGGUACCUGCAAAAGAAGCGCCGGCUAACUACGUGCCAGCAGCCGCGGUAAUACGUAGGGCGCAAGCGUUGUCCGGAAUUAUUGGGCGUAAAGAGCUCGUAGGCGGCUUGUCACGUCGGGUGUGAAAGCCCGGGGCUUAACCCCGGGUCUGCAUCCGAUACGGGCAG